UAGAGUUACAAAGUUCCACCAGGUCAUUUACAGAUGAGUUUGAGGACUGCAGGAUAACCCUUUUCGAUCUUCAACAGGAGCAAGAAAGCACCAAGCUAGGGCACUUAAUUUCCAAAUGCUGCCAAACUGGAAUGCAAGUUACACUACAAGAAAGCAAAUCUUAUUUUCAAAUUGUCAAUAACUGAGGCCCUGGUUUAACAAGAAGUAGGAAAUCCAAAACAGACAUUAACUUCAGAACUGCUGGACAUUCAGCUUGAAUAUACCACAGGACGGAAGGAGGAACAGUCCCUAUAAAGCUACGUAAUACAACACCAUGUUCAAGAAGUUUGAUUUGGCUGCUGAGUCUGGUACUAUGUAUGGUUGAGGAAAGGUAUGAAGGCAGUUCUUCAAAAGGC
rnacentral:lncRNA from 1 species